rnacentral:rRNA from 1 species
GACGAACGCUGGCGGCGUGCUUAACACAUGCAAGUCGAACGGAAAGGCCCUGCUUUUGUGGGGUGCUCGAGUGGCGAACGGGUGAGUAACACGUGAGUAACCUGCCCUUGACUUUGGGAUAACUUCAGGAAACUGGGGCUAAUACCGGAUAGGAGCUCCUGCUGCAUGGUGGGGGUUGGAAAGUUUCGGCGGUUGGGGAUGGACUCGCGGCUUAUCAGCUUGUUGGUGGGGUAGUGGCUUACCAAGGCUUUGACGGGUAGCCGGCCUGAGAGGGUGACCGGCCACAUUGGGACUGGGAUACGGACCAGACUCCUACGGGAGGGAGCAGUGGGGAAUAUUGAACAAUGGGCGGAAGCCUGAUGCAGCAACGCCGCGUGCGGGAUGACGGCCUUCGGGUUGUAAACCGCUUUCGCCUGUGACGAAGCGUGAGUGACGGUAAUGGGUAAAGAAGCACCGGCUAACUACGUG